CCCAGAGACACCUGGAUCCCAGAGAUGACUGGACUUAGAAACACCUGGAUCCCAGAGAUGCAGGACCUCAAAGACACCUGGAUCCCAGAGACACCAGCCCCUAAAGACAUCUGAAUCCCAGAGAGGCACUUCCUGUUCCAGUUGAAUCGUUUCCUGUCCUGUCAGAGGUCGUGUCCGUCCGGGCCACUCCGCUUCCUGUCCAAGAGUGGAUCGCUUCCUCUUUCAGCGGUGGCCAAUUCAGUCUUGAGAUGGGUAACUUCCCGUCCAGCUCAACUCAACUCACUUCCUGCCCUGACCAAGCCACUACCUGGACAAACCGAGUCAACUUCUUGUGGCAGUGGCCGUCUUCCUUUAGCUUCCCGCCCCGCCUCAAUAAAAAAUAAUAACUGUUGAA